CAGGCCUAACACAGCAAGUCGAACGGGAUCCAAGACUUCGGUUUUGGUGAGAGUGGCGGACGGUGAGUAACGCGUGGGAGCCUGCCCAAUGGUCUGGGAUAACCGCGGGAACUGCGGCUAAUACCGGAUAAGCCCGAGAGGGGAAAGAUUUAUCGCCGAUGAGGGGCCCGCGUCCGAUUAGGUAGUUGGUGGGGUAAUGGCCUACCAAGCGACGAUCCGUAGCUGGUCUGAGAGGAUGAUCAGCCACACUGGGACUGAACACGGCCCACACUCCUACGGGAGGCAGCAGUGGGGAAUAUUGGACAAUGGCGAAAGCCUGAUCCAGCCAUGCCGCGUGAGUGAAGAAGGUCCUAGGGUGUAAAGCUCUUUCGGCGGGGAAGAUAAUGAGGGUUACCGUAGA
rnacentral:rRNA from 1 species